rnacentral:lncRNA from 1 species
CUACUGAACUGUCACGGCAGACCUCUCUGUAUCUAUAUUUAGAGCUGUAUGUCCAUAUAUUUGCCUGAAUGUGUGAGUUCUUGGAAGUAUGGAUUCAUUGCCAGGAGCUGGUGAUUUCCUAAGCAGAGGUCGCUAACUACAAGAAAUGUUACACUCGGACAAGUCCUGCGCUUGGGGAUCCUCUGUACGCCCGUUCACUGGUGCAGGUCUUCUGAACAAAUGCCUCCUGAGGAUUUCUGUGCCUGGAAAAUAUCUGUUAACAGACUGCUUUUACACCUACAUGUUGCCAUGCCUUAAAAUUGCUGAUGAUUAAAAUAGAACAUCCUGAGUUACAGAAAUUCAGCCCUAGUGUAUCCUGGCCUAAAAAUACAGAACAAUCAAGUUGAUUGUUGGAAAUGAGAGGCUAGGCAGGGUUGGAAACAUGCUAAUGUUUACUGAGUGAAAUCUUUCCUUCUCAGUAGAGUUGCCCUUGCAGCUGAAAGUCACUGAAAGACUCAACAAAAUAAGCAGAUCCCACUUGUCUCACUCUGUUCUCCUAUGCAUGCCCUGGAAAGAGAAUGAAUGAGCCCUUUUUAAUUUAUCAACUGGUUUUCUUCCAUCUCUUUACUAGUGAGCCAUGGGGGUUUUUUGCCGUUAACUGGGUAGCCAGUCUCUUCAUGGAGACUUAUUUUCAGGAAACUAGCCUCUUGCUUUAUGUGAAAACAAGGACCCAACUCAAA